UUGUUUGAGAAAACCCAUCGAUGGGUAAAAAAAUACUCAUUUUUGAAAAGCAUAAAGAUCUGCCAAAACAUGGGUGAAAACACAAAAACAAAACGAGUAAAAAUAUACCCAUUUUAAGGAUGCGACCAUCUACCCAUUAAUGGGUGAAAAAGUAGUUAGGGAAAUUUGGAAAAUCGAGGGAUUCUUCAGAAUCUGUUGUUCGAAAAGGAAUGUUUUUUCAAGGUUUUUUCUGCUCCCGCUUGCUGCAGAUUUCCUGUAUCACCGUCUAGAUUACAAGCGCUGUAUCCUACGCACAAGGUUACGUUAUGGACUACAGAGCCAGGAUAGCUUCAGCUUUCGGCAAGGCUUCCGGAUUCCAGCAAGAAGAUUUUACCAAGUGAAUAUAAAUAACAAAUUAUAGUGGCUAAGAAGUGUACUAUUUUUUUAAUAAAAUGUAUUAGGAAUGACUAUUUUCUGUUUGUUUAAUUUGAAUGCAUUUAAAAUUUCCAGCUAACACCAUUUCAAAAAUGGGUAUUUUUUCACCCAUUUUACGGCACUAUCGCUUUUUUAAAAUGGGUAAAUAUUUACCCAUCAUUUGACAUAAACUGUGUCUACCCAUUAAUGGGUAAACAGUCUUUACCCAUUAAAUGGGGAGAGGCACUUCUAGCGAAAAUGGGUGUUUUUUCACCCAUUAAUGGGUUUUCACAAACGACCGUGUAAGGUAAA